UACGAAGGGGGCUAGCGUUGUUCGGAUUUACUGGGCGUAAAGCGCACGUAGGCGGACUAUUAAGUCAGGGGUGAAAUCCCGGGGCUCAACCCCGGAACUGCCUUUGAUACUGGUAGUCUUGAGUUCGAGAGAGGUGAGUGGAAUUCCGAGUGUAGAGGUGAAAUUCGUAGAUAUUCGGAGGAACACCAGUGGCGAAGGCGGCUUCCUGGCCUGUUCUUGACGCUGAGGCGCGAAAGCUAGGGUAGCAAACGGG
rnacentral:rRNA from 1 species